GUCAGGGAACGGGGCAGCGGUCGGGGUAGUACUGGUGGGCCGAUCGUUGUCCGGAAUGAUUGGGCGUAAAGGGGUCGGAGGCGGUUUGUCGCGUCGGGAGUGAAAUCCUCCAGCUUAACUGGAGGCUUGCGUUCGAUAGGGGCAGGCUUGGGGGAAUCAGGGGAGAAUGGAAUUCCUGGUGUAGCGGUGAAAUGCGUAGAGAUGUGGAGGAAUACCGGUGGCGAAGGCGGCCCCCUGGACAAAGACUGACGCUCAGGUGCGAAAGCGUGGGGAGCAAACAGGAUUAGAUCCCUAGUAGUC
rnacentral:rRNA from 1 species